rnacentral:rRNA from 1 species
AGUGAACGCUGGCGGUAGGCCUAACACAUGCAAGUCGAACGGCAGCACAGUAAGAGCUUGCUCUUACGGGUGGCGAGUGGCGGACGGGUGAGGAAUACAUCGGAAUCUACUUUUUCGUGGGGGAUAACGUAGGGAAACUUACGCUAAUACCGCAUACGACCUACGGGUGAAAGCAGGGGAUCUUCGGACCUUGCGCGAUUGAAUGAGCCGAUGUCGGAUUAGCUAGUUGGCGGGGUAAAGGCCCACCAAGGCGACGAUCCGUAGCUGGUCUGAGAGGAUGAUCAGCCACACUGGAACUGAGACACGGUCCAGACUCCUACGGGAGGCAGCAGGGGGGAAUAUUGGCCAAGGGGGGCAAGCCUGACCCAGCCAUACCGCGGGGGUGAAGAAGGCCUUCGGGUUGUAAAGCCCUUUUUUUGGGAAAAAAAAGCAGAAGGUUAAUACCCCGCUGUUCUGACGGUACCCAAAGAAUAAGCACCGGCUAAUUUCGU